rnacentral:rRNA from 1 species
GGGGGAUAUUGCACAAUGGGGGAAACCCUGAUGCAGCGACGCCGCGUGGAGGAAGAAGGUUUUCGGAUUGUAAACUCCUGUCGUUAGGGACGAUAAUGACGGUACCUAACAAGAAAGCACCGGCUAACUACGUGCCAGCAGCCGCGGUAAAACGUAGGGUGCAAGCGUUGUCCGGAAUUACUGGGUGUAAAGGGAGCGCAGGCGGACCGGCAAGUUGGAAGUGAAAUCCAUGGGCUCAACCCGUGAAUUGCUUUCAAAACUGCUGGCCUUGAGUAGUGCAGAGGUAGGUGGAAUUCCCGGUGUAGCGGUGGAAUGCGUAGAUAUCGGGAGGAACACCAGUGGCGAAGGCGACCUACUGGGCACCAACUGACGCUGAGGCUCGAAAGCAUGGGUAGCAAACAGGAUUAGAUACCCUGGUAGUCCAUGCCGUAAACGAUGAUUACUAGGUGUUGGAGGAUUGACCCCUUCAGUGCCGCAGUUAACACAAUAAGUAAUCCACCUGGGGAGUACGACCGCAAGGUUGAAACUCAAAGGAAUUGACGGGGGCCCGCACAAGCAGUGGAGUAUGUGGUUUAAUUCGAAGCAACGCGAAGAACCUUACCAGGUCUUGACAUCCGAUGCAUAGUGCAGAGAUGCAUGAAGUCCUUCGGGACAUCGAGACAGGUGGUGCAUGGUUGUCGUCAGCUCGUGUCGUGAGAUGUUGGGUUAAGUCCCGCAACGAGCGCAACCCUUAUUGCCAGUUACUGCGUAAGAGGACUCUGGCGAGACUGCCGUUGACAAAACGGAGGAAGGUGGGGAUGACGUCAAAUCAUCAUGCCCUUUAUGAUCUGGGCUACACACGUACUACAAUGGCGUUUAACAAAGAGAAGCAAGACCGCGAGGUGGAGCAAAACUCAGAAACAACGUCUCAGUUCAGAUUGCAGGCUGCAACUCGCCUGCAUGAAGUCGGAAUUGCUAGUAAUCGCGGAUCAGCAUGCCGCGGUGAAUACGUUCCCG